rnacentral:rRNA from 1 species
UACAGAGGUGGCAAGCGUUGUUCGGAUUUAUUGGGCGUAAAGGGUCCGUAGGCGGUACGGAAAGUUGGAUGUGAAAUCCCACAGCUUAACUGUGGAACUGCAUUCAAAACUUCCGAACUAGAGUAUGAGAGGGGUAAGGGGAAUUCCCGGUGUAAGGGUGAAAUCUGCAGAGAUCGGGAGGAACACCAGUCGCGAAGGCGCCUUACUGGCUCAUUACUGACGCUCAGGGACGAAAGCUAGGGGAGCAAACGGG